UACGAAGGGUGCAAGCGUUACUCGGAAUUACUGGGCGUAAAGCGUGCGUAGGUGGUUUGUUAAGUCUGUUGUGAAAGCCCCGGGCUCAACCUGGGAAUGGCAAUGGAUACUGGCAGGCUAGAGUGCGGUAGAGGGUAGUGGAAUUCCCGGGUGUAGCGGUGAAAUGCGUAGAGAUCGGGAGGAACACCUGUGGCGAAGGCGGCCCCCUGGGCCGGCCCUGACACUGG
rnacentral:rRNA from 1 species